GCCCGGGUGGCUCAGUCGGUUGAGCCUCCGACUUCGGCUCAGAUCCCGAUCUCUCGGUUCAUGGGUUCGAGCCCCGCAUCGGGCU
rnacentral:tRNA from 1 species